UGGUGAGAGCAUGACCCCCCACACGGGUACUGAGACACGGACCCGACUCCUACGGGAGGCAGCAGUAAGGAAAUAUUGGACAAUGGACGGAAGUCUGAUCCAGCCAUGCCGCGUGAAGGAAGACUGCGCUCAGCGUUGUAAACUUCUUUUGGAUGGGAAUAAUAAUGUCGACGAGAUCGGCACUUGAAGGUACCAUCAGAAUAAGCACCGGCUAACUCCGUGCCAGCAGCCGCGGUAAUACGGAGGGUGCAAGCGUUAUCCGGAAUCACUGGGUUUAAAGGGUGCGUAGGCGGUUAAAUAAGUCAGUUGUGAAAUUCUCCGGCUUAACCGGGGUGAACUUGCGAUUGAUACUGUUAGACUUGAAUCAGGUUGAGGUAGGCGGAAUGUGGCAUGUAGCGGUGAAAUGCAUAGAUAUGCCAUAGAACACCGAUUGCGAAGG
rnacentral:rRNA from 1 species